UCCUGCAGGACCCGCUCCCCGCGGCAGGAGCAGUUGACGUGGCCCUUGGGGGUGAGCAGGCACAGGUCCUGGCAGCCACCGUUGUUCACCCGGCACGGGGACAGCUCACCUAGGACAGAGGGACAGUGGUCACACCAGGGUUGCUCCAAGCUCCAUCCAACCUGUCCUAGGAUACUUCACAGAAUACUUGAGGUUGGAAAAGAUCUCCAAGAUCAAGUCCAAUCUGUGACCAAACCCCUCCAGAGCAUUCAGUGCCACACCCAGCAGUUACAUCUAAGGAUGGUGACUCCAUCAUGAACCUGGACAUCCCCUUCCAACGUUUAAUAACCCUUUCCAUAAAGAAAUUCCUUCUCAUGUCCAACCUGAACCUCCUCUGAUGCAGCCUGAAGCCAUGUCCUCACUUCUCAGGGGCACAGCCCAACUGGGGGCAGGAGGAACCUGCGGUGGGACGCAUCCCACAGCCCCCCACACACCAGAGUAGGGGGUGCCUGACCUCCCCAGCCUCAGGAACAGCUCUGCUUCCCUCUGACCACACUCCAGCCCCAGUUUGGACACCCUCCUCCCCAUCUCCCUGGCCUCAGACUCACAUGGCGAUGGGAGCCAUCGUAUUCGCAGCGCUCGAUCUUGUCCAGGGUGGCAUCAGAGAAAUAAAUCUUC